rnacentral:rRNA from 1 species
GCAUAAUCAUUUGUCCAUUAAUUGUGGACUGGAAUGAAUGGGUUAAUGAAAUUUAAGCUGUCUCUAAUUAACAUUAUAAAAACUAGUCAUUAAGUGAAGAAACUUAAAUUAAAUUGAAAGACAAGAAGACCCUAUAGAGCUUUACUCUAACCUAAAAUAACUAUUUUAGCAACAGUUCGGUUGGGGCGACCAGGGAGCAUCAUCUCUAAACAAACAGAAAAAUAAUUCAUACAAUAUGACCCUUUAAAGAUCAUAAAAUCAAGCUACCUUAGGGAUAACAGGCUAAUUUUCCUACAGAGACCUUAUUAACAGGAAAGA